UUGAAACUAAUUCCCACAAUAUUUAGCUGAAAUCAAUAAUGGAUUAUCUCGGAAUAUCUUUAUAAAACAUUUCUUUGGAAGAUGUCAUUGAUGAAGAAACCAACACGUUAGGAAUAUCCCUUGAGGAAAUGGAAACCUCUUUAAAUGCUCAGGAGUCCGAUGAACCAUUGGCUGUUGUUAGUCCAGAGGAACCCACACAGCCACUUCAUACAUCAACACCAAAGAAACCCAUACAUACAAGUAAAACAGGAAAAGGCAGACCAGUUCGGAGGUUAUUAAAGCUUAAGAAAACAGGGGAAGUGCAACGUCUACAGCAAUGUAGGAGAUGAUGUUUUCAUAGCAAUGUUUCCCAGAGCCAGAUCAUCAGGGCUAGAGAAAAAGUAUAGACGAAGGAUUUCAACUGUAGAGUUGACUGGAAGUUGGAAAAGUUUGAAGAAUCCCCGAAUUGUUUUGGUUAUGUUACCAAACCUUUCAAGAUUUAGUUGGUAAUAUUCCCAGAAAUAUAUUUAACUCUGUCAAUAAAUGUGAGCUGGUUAAGCUCUGCGAUUAUGUUAAAGAAUCAGUAUGUAUUCGUAAUGUUAUUCCUAAUAAUUAUUAUUAUUAUUAUUAAUUUAGUUCAUCCUCUGAUACUGCUGCCUUUACGUCAACAUAUUUGUGUCUUUAACCAUAGCACUAACCAUGUACAAGCAUUUGAUAUCAAAAACCUAAGUGUAUGUGUUUAGACGAUGUUCUGAUGUAUAUGACUUAUACACGUCUGUUCUGUUCUUUUCUGUGUCUUUUUGUUUAAAUCAUAAUAUGCAAA